CCUACCCUUGACAUGCCUGGAAUCCUGCAGAGAUGUGGGAGUGCUCGAAAGAGAACCAGGACACAGGUGCUGCAUGGCCGUCGUCAGCUCGUGUCGUGAGAUGUUGGGUUAAGUCCCGCAACGAGCGCAACCCUUGUCAUUAGUUGCUACGAAAGGGCACUCUAAUGAGACUGCCGGUGACAAACCGGAGGAAGGUGGGGAUGACGUCAGGUCCUCAUGGCCCUUAUGGGUAGGGCUACACACGUCAUACAAUGGCCGGUACAGAGGGCUGCCAACCCGCGAGGGGGAGCCAAUCCCAGAAAACCGGUCGUAGUCCGGAUCGCAGUCUGCAACUCGACUGCGUGAAGUCGGAAUCGCUAGUAAUCGCGGAUCAGCUUGCCGCGGUGAAUACGUUCCCGGGUCUUGUACACACCGCCCGUCACACCAUGGGAG
rnacentral:rRNA from 1 species